rnacentral:rRNA from 1 species
CGCGUAGGCGGAUUUGUAAGUCAGGUGUGAAAUUCUGGGGCUCAACCUCAGAGCUGCACUUGAAACUGCGAGUCUAGAGGGUUGGCGGAGAAAACGGAAUUCCACGUGUAGCGGUGAAAUGCGUAGAUAUGUGGAGGAACAUCGGUGGCGAAAGCGGUUUUCUAGCUAAUUCCUGACGCUGAGGCGCGAGAAGGCAAGGGAAGCAAACA